rnacentral:rRNA from 1 species
UACGUAGGGUGCAAGCGUUAAUCGGAAUUACUGGGCGUAAAGCGUGCGCAGGCGGCUUUGCAAGACAGAUGUGAAAUCCCCGGGCUUAACCUGGGAACUGCAUUUGUGACUGCAUGGCUGGAGUGCGGCAGAGGGGGAUGGAAUUCCGCGUGUAGCAGUGAAAUGCGUAGAUAUUGGGAGGAACACCAGUGGCGAAGGCGGUCCCCUGGGCCGGAACUGACGCUGAGGCGCGAAAGCGUGGGUAGCAAACGGG